rnacentral:lncRNA from 1 species
CAAGGCGCGGGAGGAAACUGGGCGGGAGGGGGCGGGGCGGGGCCAGCAGGAAACUUGCAUAUCAGUGGGGCAGAGAGGAACCCUGGCCUGCAGAACCCGGGCUGGAGUGAGGGGAAGCCAGAACGGCUGGCGAGCCAGGAGGAAGUAAGAGAUCACGAUGCGGCGAGGGAGAAAGCUUUACUGGCGCUGUGACCAAGACUUCCCGGGAACCGCACGCCUUUCCUGUUUGCAGAGAUGACAGAAAUCAUGAAGAGGAUUUUAUUCUCCCAGUGUGUUUAUCUCACUCACAUAUCUUUAGAUCUUGAAUAUAAUACUCUUUCUCCCUCGCUAUCUUCCCCACCCCUGGGUUUUGGAAGGAAGAAAGGAAAGGAAAAAAUGCCUCCGAGGUGGUCUUUAGUCCGGCUCAUGGCCAGUGUGUCUUCAUUCCAGCUGAGAGCCACGGCAGCCAUCCUCCCAGACCAUCACUGCCCCCUCCCCGCUCCCUGGGUUGGGGAUGAAGUGAGACAAGCGGCCUCUGAAUUCACCUCUCUUCUGUGUGAGUCGCUUCGGACAUUGGAAGUCUUGGGUGAGAAAAAAACAAAAGAAGAAGAAAGAAAAGGCAAAAAGGCCUUUGGACACGUAAUGGUUUUUCUCAAAACUGCCAUCUUCUUGCAGACAGCAACCUCGCUGCUGCUGCCAAGAAGAGCUUCUUAAGCAGUUUUUACCUUGGUGGGGGGGUGGGGGUAGCGAGGAUUGGGAGUGAGGUUGCGAUCCGUUGAACGAGCAGCUGAAAAAGAAGGGAGAGCGCGGGGAGCCUGGUAAGCUUUCCGCGUGGGGGACGUUUUCACUCUCACAUUAGGAUGCAAUUCAACCCAGAACAUCAUGGGAAAAGUCGAGUUAUCUGCAAUAAGUAUCAUUUAAAUUGGGCAUUCAGUAAGUAUCAUUAAAUUGAACGGUAUAAUUAGGGCUCCAGGGAGCCCUGUGGCCCGCAGUGUUUCCUGUGGACACCGUUGGAGAAAUGGGCAAGUAGUGGUGGAGACUGACAACAUGGCAGGCAGCGCGGGCGCACCUCUCGGACUUGGUGAAGGGAAAGGCUCCAUUUGAUUUAUCACGGUUAUUUACCUUUGAUGUCAGCGAACAGGAAUGAAGUGCAUCUUGGUCUAAUUAAAAAGACCUAAAAAGGCAUUUUAAAUGGGUUUGUUAUCUGAUCAUGGGAUGUGAGUAUGGCGUUUGGCAGCUUUCUAAAAUAUUGCUUGGGCCAUUUAAACAGAACAAUUAGUAGCAUGCUAAAAUGUUUGCAUGCUAUGCUUAGAAGCUUUUAGCUGUAAACUCUAAGGCGAUCUGUUCCCCUUUAAGUUAAAAAAGGAUGCUGCUGCUUCCUUGUGGCAAAGGUUGUCAGGAACCCGCUGAUCAAUAAAAGUAAACUGGCGCCUCCACGGCUUGAUUGAGCUGGAGCAAAGAGUCUGAGAAGUAGUCUCAGCCAUUAACAAUCCCCCAGGUAACGAGAAAUGAUUAACAUUGCCGUGGCAUCUAAAAAAAUGCAUACAAGAUAAGAAGGCUGCAGACCUCUUACCUUGGGGAGGGCUAAUAGAAUGUCUAUAUUCUGCUGUCUUUUAAAGAUAAAUAGGAGAAUUCCAUUCAUGUACAAUGUCAUUACCUUUGUAAUUGCAAUUACAUUGUCAAGACAUGUUCUGCAUUUGCAAAGACAAACGCUCUGCACUAAUGAGAUGGCAACUGGUUCCCGGUUUCCUGCUCUCUGCUCUCACUCCAGGUGCCCCUCUUUUCCAAGCAAAAAAAUGAGAAUUGUUUUUAUGGAAUUUGGGUGCUGAGGGAGACAGGGGCAUAUGCCUCUGUUUUCCUUCUUUCCCAUUACUCCCCCACCCCCAAGCUCAAAGUGACAUAUAUAUAUAUAUAUGCCAUUCUUCGGUCCGUAUCUAUAGAUACUCCUAAUGCAGUUUUCUCUCAGAAUCUUUUUUUUUUCCUAAUAGGUGCACUUGAUCAUUAUAAUGCAACAAUCAACAAUGCUAUUCACUAAAUGAGUGGCCGAAAGCACCUUCAUAAUCAGUAAUUUAUUAACUAACUGAAUAAAAAGGAUCUGUGUGUAGAUAAUAAAGAUCAAACGAAAAUUCUCUCCUCUUAGCUUCCAUUUACUUCUGUCUUAGAGGGAGCUCCACAUCCUCGGCCUCUUUAGAGACACAAGAGGGACAUCUAGUGACAAUCCUAGGUAUUUUUUGAUGCAACAGCUGCUGAGAAACCCUAUCUAGCCCUGGAUAUCACUGAGACUAGAAUCAAAAUUAGUAAAGAAAUUCUUUUUGUCAUUAAAAUUUCAACCACAUCGCUUAGUGCUGUACAGCAAUAGAAGAAGAGAGAGAAGGAGAAAAGAUCCUUACAUUCAAAUCAAUCUAGUAUGUGAGGGUGAUUCUUGCUGCCCCAAGAUUAAUAAAGUUAAAAGGUUUUGUCCAGAACGUUAACAUUGAAAAUAGGACCCAAAAUACCAGGAUAUGAAGGACUGUAGCAUUGACAAAUUUGAUGGAGCUCUCUGAGAUGUAUUUCAAAAAUGUUUGCUUUAAGCUCUGGAGAGACUAGCCAUCAAAUAACUUCUCUCUCUCACAUCUUUCUUUCUCUGUGUGUCUCUCUUCCUCCUUUCCUUCCUCUCUUCUACCUGCACUUGCUACAGAGAAGUAAAUAAUCUUCUAACU